rnacentral:lncRNA from 1 species
UCACCAACAGCCCCGUACCACACGGCGUUGGCGCCCAGGAAGAGGCAGAUGAGGAGAACGCAGCAGGUGGCCCUCUGGAUGCGAGUGAAACAGCUACGAGGCGGCCGGUCCCAUAUGGAGAGCCAGAUGUGCUUGUCAAAGAAGCCACGCUGCAGCUCAGCCACCAGCAGGCGCCGGAAGCGCAACAGGGCUGCGUGACC